AACGCGAAGAACCUUACCUGGAUUUGACAUCCACUGACAGUCCUAGAAGUAGGAUCUUCCCUUCGGGGACAGUGAGACAGGUGCUGCAUGGCUGUCGUCAGCUCGUAUCGUGAGAUGUCGGGUUAAGUCCCUUAACGAGCGCAACCCUUAUCCCUAGUUGCCAUCAUUCAGUUGGGCACUCUAAGGAGACCGCCGGUGUUAAACCGGAGGAAGGUGGGGAUGACGUCAAGUCCUCAUGGCCCUUAUAUCCAGGGCUACACACGUGCUACAAUGGCCGAUACAGAGGGCUGCUAACCCGUAAGGGGGAGCUAAUCUCAGAAAGUCGGUCUCAGUUCGGAUUGAAGUCUGCAACUCGACUUCAUGAAGCUGGAAUCGCUAGUAAUCGCGGAUCAGAACGCCGCGGUGAAUACGUUCCCGGGCCUUGUACACACCGACAUA
rnacentral:rRNA from 1 species